CACCCUGGGGGACAAGGAAGUUAAAGAAAAUUUUGGCAGUGCUAUUCAAGAACUAAAUCAGCCUCUGAACUCUCUAGUCUCUCCAUUCUCUUUCAUUCUUGUUCUUUAUUUGCAGAAAAGAGUCUCUUUGGUGGCAUUUCCGGUAGUUGUAUUUACCCUGGCGCACAAAAAUUGCAAAAUCGCUAAGAACCAUGUCAUCAAACAGAUUCAGAAAAAAUGGAUGACAAGUUCCUGCAUAUUGACAUUGGUGUUCUUCUCACCCGUCAGCAAUUUUGCAGAGGUAGUCCCGUUGAUCGUCUCGAAGUGGAACAUCAGUGAAAUCUGGAGAGGGAAAACAGUUGAAAACAUGACAUGGUGAUGCCACAGUACAGUAAGAUGAUUUCACUAUGCCACUAUGACAGUAAGUUCAACUAUCUUCAUGGAGAUAAGCAGUUAGCACUUAGGACUUGCCUGCCCCGUAUAUGUUGGAACCUUUGAAAGAAGUGUUCCCGGUCACAAGUGCCCCUUCCAAGUUGGCAUUUGUUAAAUUUACCUGCAGAACGGAACCAGAUUGCUGUGAAACCAUAUUCCAAAAUUAAGGCACUAUGCUAAAACUCAAUAAAGAGAAAAACAGAAUAGGAUAGUACUAGUCUGAUGCUCUGACGACCAGAUGUGAUGGUCACUGAACCGAC
rnacentral:lncRNA from 1 species